rnacentral:rRNA from 1 species
UGCAUYGAUGAAGAACGUAGCGAAAUGCGAUACUUGGUGUGAAUUGCAGAAUCCCGUGAAUCAUCGAGUCUUUGAACGCAAGUUGCRCCCGAGGCCACUCGGYCGAGGGCAUGCCUACCUGGGCAUCAUGC